rnacentral:rRNA from 1 species
UACGUAGGGGGCAAGCGUUGUCCGGAAUCAUUGGGCGUAAAGAGCGUGUAGGCGGCCCGGUAAGUCCGCUGUGAAAGUCCAGGGCUCAACCCUGGGAUGCCGGUGGAUACUGUCGGGCUCGAGUCCGGAAGAGGAGUGUGGAAUUCCUGGUGUAGCGGUGAAAUGCGCAGAUAUCUGGAGGAACACCGGUGGCGAAGGCGGCGUCCUGGACCAACACUGACACUGAGGAGCGAAAGCCAGGGGAGCAAACGGG